UCUUGACAUCCAGCGAACUUGGCAGAGAUGCCUUGGUGCCUUCGGGAACGCUGAGACAGGUGCUGCAUGGCUGUCGUCAGCUCGUGUUGUGAAAUGUUGGGUUAAGUCCCGCAACGAGCGCAACCCUUAUCCUUUGUUGCCAGCGAUUCGGUCGGGAACUCAAAGGAGACUGCCGGUGAUAAACCGGAGGAAGGUGGGGAUGACGUCAAGUCAUCAUGGCCCUUACGAGUAGGGCUACACACGUGCUACAAUGGCGCAUACAAAGAGAAGCGACCUCGCGAGAGCAAGCGGACCUCAUAAAGUGCGUCGUAGUCCGGAUCGGAGUCUGCAACCCGACUCCGUGAAGUCGGAAUCGCUAGUAAUCGUGGAUCAGAAUGCCACGGUGAAUACGUUCCCGGGCCUUGUACACACCGCCCGUCACACCAUGGGAGUGGGUUGCAAAAGAAGUAGGUAGCUUAACCUUCGGGAGGGCGCUUACCACUUUGUGAUUCAUGACUGGGGUGAAGUCGUAACAAGGUAGGCGUAGACGU
rnacentral:rRNA from 1 species